UACAGAGACUGCAAGCGUUAUUCGGAUUCACUGGGCGUAAAGGGUGCGCAGGCGGCCAAGUGUGUUAGGCGUGAAAGCCCGGGGCUUAACCCCGGAAUUGCACCUAAAACUACUUGGCUAGAGCAUUGGAGAGGGUAGCGGAAUUCACGGUGUAGCAGUGAAAUGCGUAGAUAUCUGGAAGAACACCAAUGGCGAAGGCAAUGUUCUGGCUCGUUUCUGACGCUCAGGUGCGAAAGCCAGGGGAGCGAACGGG
rnacentral:rRNA from 1 species